GUGCUCGCUUCGGCAGCACAUAUACUAAAAUUGGACCGAUACAGAGAAGAUUAGCAUGGCCCCUGCGCAAGAAAAAACGACUUUAAAUUGGAUUGCCUGAUAAAAGAAGUCCAAAUUAUU
rnacentral:snRNA from 1 species